GACGAACGCUGGCGGCGUGCCUAACACAUGCAAGUCGAGCGCUGAAGGUUGGUAUUUGUCCCAACUGGAUGAGCAGCGAACGGGUAAGUACUGCGUAGGGAACCUGUCUUUGGGCGGGAGACAACAUAAGGAACCGAAUGCUCAUACCGCAUAAAAACUUUAAACAGAAGUUUUUUGUUUGCAAGAUGUAUUUGCAUCACUCAAAGCUGAUUACGCGUUGUAUUAGCUAGGUGGUGAGGUAAAGGACCACCAAGGCGAAGGUACAUAGACGGCCUGGGAGGGUGGUCGACCACCAUGGGACUGGGACACGGCCCAAACUCCCUCGGGAAGCAGCAAGAGGGAAACGUCGGCAAUGGACGGAAGUCUGACCGAGCAACGCCGCGGGAGGGAAGAAAGUUGUCGGGUCGGAAAAGUCUGUUAGUAGGGAAGAACGUUGAUUAAGUUGGAAAGCUCAUCAAGUGACGGUAACUACACAAAAAGGGACGGCUAACUACGUG
rnacentral:rRNA from 1 species